rnacentral:rRNA from 1 species
UACGGAGGGUGCAAGCGUUAUCCGGAUUUAUUGGGCUUAAAGGGUCCGUAGGCGGCUCUGUAAGUCAGUGGUGAAAUCUCAUAGCUUAACUAUGAAACUGCCAUUGAUACUGCAGGUCUUGAGUAAAGUAGAAGUGGCUGGAAUAAGUAGUGUAGCGGUGAAAUGCAUAGAUAUUACGUAGAACACCAAUUGCGAAGGCAGGUCACUAUGUUUUAACUGACGCUGAUGGACGAAAGCGUGGGGAGCGAACAGG